AUUCAAGUUAACCUUAAUGUUACGAAAUAAUAACAUUAUUUUUUUCGCCACGUCAGUAAAUGGUGAUAUUGAUUGCUUUGGGACUGGUCACUGGGGCAGUUAGUAUUUGCAUGCAAAUACUCUCAAAAUAAACUACUUGUAGGAAAACCCAAGAAAACUGUAAAUUCAGGCCAAGAUAGCCGAUUUGGAAAAAAUGUGCAACUCCAAU